rnacentral:rRNA from 1 species
CCUACGGGAGGCUGCAGUGGGGAAUAUUGGGCAAUGGGCGCAAGCCUGACCCAGCAACGCCGCGUGAAGGAAGAAGGCUUUCGGGUUGUAAACUUCUUUUCUCAGGGACGAAGAAAGUGACGGUACCUGAGUAAUAAGCCACGGCUAACUACGUGCCAGCAGCCGCGGUAAUACGUAGGUGGCAAGCGUUAUCCGGAUUUAUUGGGUGUAAAGGGCGUGUAGGCGGGAGCGGAAGUCAGAUGUGAAAACUCAGGGCUCAACCCUGAGCCUGCAUUUGAAACUGUGUUUCGUGAGUGCAGGAGAGGCAAUCGGAAUUCGGGGUGUAGCGGUGAAAUGCGUAGAUAGACGGAGGAACACCAGUGGCGAAGGCGGAUUGCUGGACAGUAACUGACGCUGAGGCGCGAAAGCGUGGGGAGCAAACAGGAUUAGAUACCCGGGUAGUC